rnacentral:rRNA from 1 species
AGCGAACGCUGGCGGCAGGCUUAACACAUGCCAGUCGAGCGGGCACUUUCGGGUGUCAGCGGCGGACGGGUGAGUAACGCGUGGGAACGUGCCCUCUGGUUCGGAAUAACUCAGGGAAACUUGAGCUAAUACCGGAUACGCCCUUUUGGGGAAAGGCUUGCUGCCGGAGGAUCGGCCCGCGUCUGAUUAGCUAGUUGAUGAGGUAACGGCUCACCAAGGCGACGAUCAGUAGCUGGUCUGAGAGGAUGAUCAGCCACACUGGGACUGAGACACGGCCCAGACUCCUACGGGAGGCAGCAGUGGGGAAUAUUGGACAAUGGGCGCAAGCCUGAUCCAGCCAUGCCGCGUGAGUGAUGAAGGCCUUAGGGUUGUAAAGCUCUUUUAUCCGGGACGAUAAUGACGGUACCGGAUGAAUAAGCCCCGGCUAACUUCGU